CGUGCAAUUCGAUACGGUUUGAAUUGUAAAUAGAUUACUUUUGUUCUAGUAUAUUAAAUUUAAUUAAUAAAUUAUUUUUGUGUUGUUGUAUUGAUUAAAGAGUUAAUUAUUUUAGUUAUAUAUGAUUUGUACCGUGAGGGAUAUUUAAUAAGUAAAUUGAUUAAUUGUAAAGUAGGACUUGGUUUCUGUACCUUGUGUAUCAGGGUUGAUCAAAUGAGUAAUAUUUAUGAUUAUUUAUCUCGAUUUUAUUAGAUCUAAUAUAUUAAGUUGAUUGUUGUAUCAAAACCAUCAAUAAUAGUAAGUUAGUGAUGAAAUGUUAUUCGUUAAUAAUGGUAUCUAGUUUCUUAGGAAAUAGGUUGAAUUUAUUUCUUUUCUUUAAAGGAUUUUAUUAUUAAGUUCUUUUUAGUCUGAGGAAAAUAAGUAAGGGGAUAAGCUAUUAUUUAAAUUUUUAUAAGUUAAAAUGUUUAAUAAGUGUUAUGGAUUUAAUAUUGAUUAUUAUUUAGAAUAUGUUAGAAUUUGACUUAAAUAAUUUAUUAUUUAUUUUUCUUUAAUAUGUUUACUAGGAAAUUAAUUAUAAUUUAAAGUAUUUGUUGAAAAUGGUUAAAUUAGUAUAUAACAAAUUUGUGUUGAUAAUUGAUCUUAAGGAACUAGGCAAAAAAGUUAUUUAUCCGCCUGUUUAACAAAAACAUCUCUUCUUGUAUUGAUGUGAAGUAUGACCUGCCCAAUGAAUUUUGAAGGGCCGCGGUAUUUUGACCGUGCAAAGGUAGCAUAAUCAUUAGUCUUUUUAUUGAGGACUGGAAUGAAUGGUUUGACGAGAUACAGUCUGUCUUUAUUUAUUUAAUAAAAUUUAAUUUUUGAGAAAAAGCUUAGAUGAAAUUAUGGGACGAGAAGACCCUAUAGAGUUUAUAUAAUUAUAUUUAUACUGAUAAAUAGUGUGUAAAUUUAUAGUGAAUAUAUUUAUUUAGUUGGGGUGAUUAGAAGAUAAAAGUAACUCUUCUUAAUUAAUUAAUACUUAUUAGUAAUAUUUUGAUCCAUUAAUAAUGAUUAAAAGACUAAAUUACCUUAGGGAUAACAGCGUAAUCUUAUUUGAGAGUUCUUAUUGACAAUAAGGGUUGCGACCUCGAUGUUGGAUUAAGAUAAGUUCUAGGUGUAGAAGCUUAGAUAUAUAGGUCUGUUCGACCUUUAAAUUCUUACAUGAUCUGAGUUCAGACCGGCGUGAGCCAGGUUGGUUUCUAUCUAUUAUAGAUUAUUAUACUUUAGUACGAAAGGACCAAGUAUUAUGAAUAAUUUCUUUAUUUAUGGUUAUUAAUACUAUUUUGACAGAAAAGUGUAGUAGAUUUAGAAUCUAUAAAUAUAGUAUAAAGCUAUAAAUAGU
rnacentral:rRNA from 1 species